rnacentral:rRNA from 1 species
GUUUGAUCCUGGCUCAGAAUGAACGCUGGCGGCGUGCUUAACACAUGCAAGUCGUACGUGAAAGAAGGGCAACCUUCAAGUAAAGUGGCGCACGGGUGAGUAACACGUGGAUAACCUGCCCCAAAGUCUGGGAUAACGCGCCGAAAGGUGCGCUAAUACCGGAUACCUUUAUGCCUCAUAAGAGGUAUAAAGAAAGGAGGCCUCUGCUUGCAAGCUUCUGCUUUGGGAUGGAUCCGCGGCCUAUCAGGUAGUUGGUAGGGUAAUGGCCUACCAAGCCUACGACGGGUAGCUGGUCUGAGAGGACGAUCAGCCACAUUGGGACUGAGACACGGCCCAGACUCCUACGGGAGGCAGCAGUGGGGAAUAUUGGGCAAUGGGAGAAAUCCUGACCCAGCAACGCCGCGUGGAGGACUAAGGCCUUCGGGUUGUAAACUCCUGUCAGCAGGGAAAAAGGUUAUAAGAGCUAAUACCUUUUAUAGCUUGAUGGUACCUGCAGAGGAAGCACCGGCUAACUACGUGCCAGCAGCCGCGGUAAUACGUAGGGUGCAAGCGUUAUUCGGAAUCACUGGGCGUAAAGGGCGCGCAGGCGGUCUUGUAAGUCUAAAGUGAAAUCCUUGGGCUUAACCCAUGGGCUGCUUUAGAUACUGCAAAACUCGAGUUCGGGAAAAGCAAGCGGAAUUCCUGGUGAAGGGGUGAAAUCCGUAGAUAUCAGAAGAACACCAGUGGCGAAAGCGGCUUGCUAGAACGCAACUGACGCUUAGCGCGAAAGCGUGGGGAGCAAACAGGAUUAGAUACCCUGUAGUCCAACGCCCUAAACGAUGGGAUGUUAGGCGUUGGGAAGUACACUUCUCAGUGCCGUAAGCUAACGCGUUAAACAUCCCGCCUGGGGA